CCUACGGGUGGCAGCAGUGGGGAAUAUUGCGCAAUGGGCGAAAGCCUGACGCAGCGACGCCGCGUGAGGGAUGAAGGUCUUCGGAUCGUAAACCUCUGUCAGCAGGGAAGAACGGUUCCUGUGCUAAUCAGCAGUGAAUUGACGGUACCUGCAAAGGAAGCACCGGCUAACUCCGUGCCAGCAGCCGCGGGAAUACGGAGGGUGCGAGCGUUAAUCGGAUUUACUGGGCGUAAAGCGCUCGUAGGCGGUAUGUCAAGUCAAGGGUGAAAUCCCCGCGCUCAACGUGGGAACUGCCUUUGAAACUGGCAUACUGGAGUGUGUGAGAGGUAAGUGGAAUUCGAGGUGUAGGAGUGAAAUCCGUAGAUAUCUGGAGGAACAUCAGUGGCGAAGGCGACUAUCUGGCGCAUAACUGACGCUGAGGAGCGAAAGCGUGGGUAGCGAACAGGAUUAGAUACCCUUGUAGUC
rnacentral:rRNA from 1 species